CCAGCUCCAAUAGCGUAUAUUUAAGUUGUUGCAGUUAAAAAGCUCGUAGUUGGAUUUCGGGCGGGGGCCGGCGGUCCGCCAUUCGGUGUGCACUGCCGGGCCCUGCCUUGUUGCCGGAGAUGGGAUCCUGGGCUUCGCUGUCCGGGACCCGGACUCGGCGUGGUUACCCCGAGUAAAUUGGCGCGUUCAACGCAGGCAUACGCUCUGAACACUUUAGCAUGGAAUAACGCGAUAGGACUCUGGCCUAUCUUGUUGGUCUGUGGGACCGGAGUAAUGAUUAAGAGGGACAGUCGGGGGCAUUCGUAUUUCAUUGUCAGAGGUGAAAUUCUUGGAUUUAUGAAAGACGAACUACUGCGAAAGCAUUUGCCAAGGAUGUUUUCA
rnacentral:rRNA from 1 species